AUAUGCCGAGAGGUGAAACGAAUUUCGCCUGGGGAUGAGCUCGCGUCUGAUUAGCUUGUUGGUGGGGUAACAGCCUACCAAGGCUUCGAUCAGUAGCUGGUCUGAGAGGACGAUCAGCCACACUGGGACUGAGACACGGCCCAGACUCCUACGGGAGGCAGCAGUGGGGAAUUUUCCGCAAUGGGCGCAAGCCUGACGGAGCAACGCCGCGUGAGGGAUGAAGGCCUUUGGGCUGUAAACCUCUUUUCUCAAGGAAGAAGAUCUGACGGUACUUGAGGAAUAAGCCACGGCUAAUUCCGUGCCAGCAGCCGCGGUAAUACGGGAGUGGCAAGCGUUAUCCGGAAUUAUUGGGCGUAAAGCGUCCGCAGGCGGCCGUUUAAGUCUGUUGUUAAAUCGUGGAGCUCAACUCCAUCACGGCAAUGGAAACUGUUCGGCUUGAGUAUGGUAGGGGCAGAGGGAAUUUCCGGUGUAGCGGUGAAAUGCGUAGAUAUCGGGAAGAACACCAGUGGCAAAAGCGCUCUGCUGGGCCAUUACUGACGCUCAUGGACGAAAGCCAGGGGAGCGAAAGGGAUUAGAUACCCCUGUAGUCCUGGCCGUAAACGAUGAACACUAGAUGUUGGGGGAAUCGACCCCUCCGGUGUCGUAGCUAACGCGUUAAGUGUUCCGCCUGGGGAGUACGCACGCAAGUGUGAAACUCAAAGGAAUUGACGGGGGCCCGCACAAGCGGUGGAGUAUGUGGUUUAAUUCGAUGCAACGCGAAGAACCUUACCAAGGCUUGACAUCCUGCGAAUCUCCAAGAAAUUGGAGAGUGCCUUCGGGAACGCAGUGACAGGUGGUGCAUGGCUGUCGUCAGCUCGUGUCGUGAGAUGUUGGGUUAAGUCCCGCAACGAGCGCAACCCACGCUUUUAGUUGCCAGCAUUCAGUUGGGCACUCUAGAAAGACUGCCGGUGACAAACCGGAGGAAGGUGUGGACGACGUCAAGUCAUCAUGCCCCUUACGUCUUGGGCUACACACGUACUACAAUGCUGCGGACAAAGAGUAGCGAUCUUGCAAAAGUUAG
rnacentral:rRNA from 1 species